GGCACGCGAGCUGGGUUUAGAACGUCGUGAGACAGUUCGGUCCCUAUCUGCCGUGGGUGUAGGAUACUUGAGAGGAGUUGCCCCUAGUACGAGAGGACCGGGGUGAACGUUCCACUGGUGGACCAGUUGUCGUGCCAACGGCAGUGCUGGGUAGCUAUGAACGGACAGGAUAACCGCUGAAGGCAUCUAAGCGGGAAGCCCCCCUCAAAACAAGGUAUCCCUGAGGACCGUGGUAGACCACCACGUCGAUAGGCCGGAGAUGUAAGCGCAGCAAUGCGUUCAGUUGAC
rnacentral:rRNA from 1 species